GACGAAGGGGGCUAGCGUUGUUCGGAAUUACUGGGCGUAAAGCGAGUGUAGGUGGUUGUCGUAGUCAGGCGUGAAAGCCUUGAGCUCAACUCAAGAAAUGCGCUUGAUACUGGGCGGCUAGAGGACCGGAGAGGAUAGUGGAAUUCCCAGUGUAGUGGUGAAAUACGUAGAGAUUGGGAAGAACACCAGUGGCGAAGGCGGCUAUCUGGACGGUUUCUGACACUAAGACUCGAAAGCGUGGGGAGCAAACAGG
rnacentral:rRNA from 1 species